UUUACUUCACAACAUAUACCUAUAUAUCAUUGACGUGUAUAAAGUGAUUUCCGCUUUAAUCAUCAUUUCAUCAUUUUUCUACUGUAAAAUAAUAAUUAUUUAUAUACAAGUAAGUUGAACUUUACGUAUUUUCAGUGGUGUAGUCAAGGGCUCUGAUUCAUAUCAAAACAUUAACACCGCAUAAAAAUUAUUAUUACUAUAUUAAAUUAUUAUUAAAUUCUUAAAAUUGAGUAUUUUUUUGUUAAUACUUGGAAUUCCCCCCCCCCACUCAUUUAAAACCCAAAAAAUUUUAAUUUUAAGCAAAAAUGAAAAAUAAAUAACUUAUCUCUAGUUUUUAAAAUAAUUGAAUCAUUAUAGUUGCAGUUAUUGGUUGUAACAUUUUUCAAACAUAUGUAACAUACCUACAUUAUUUGUACAUUAUUUUACUUUUAUUUAAAGAGUUCGAAUAUUACCAAUAUUGAAUCAUAAGAUAUUAUAGUUUAUGAUUUUGCUAAUGAUUUGUCUAGCGUUUAUGAAAAUUAUGAUUUCAAUGUAAAUCAUAAACUUGUACACAAUCCACCCAAAUUUCUUUUCUCUUCACUCCACUCUUGUUAGAUAUAGUUAGAUAGAAGUAAUUGAAUCUAUUAAGUUCACAAUCCCAGGCUCCAGUCCUGGUCCUGAUUUAAUUCCAAAUAUAUUCCUAAAAAAACUUUUACAUACCUAACAUUAUAUUAAAUAUAAUAUUUUUUAUUAACCAUUAAUUAUUUUGGUUGAAGAUGUGACAUGUUUGGAAGAGUUCGUAAAUGAAGGACUCGUGUACAUAGAUGGAAAUGGAAAUUGGUGUAAUAAUAGCGGUUGGAAAGAAACAUUCAAACAGGCCUAUGGUCAAGGAUCGAAUUCUAAAUAUAUGAAGGAAUACUUUAAAACAUCUACUGAAACAUCUGACUGUCUUCCAAUAACAGG